GGCUGAACCAGCAACUUGGAGGAAUGUAUAGGGAAAACUGGUAAAAUGUGAUGUACCUAAUAGUAUUAGUGAUUAAUAUGAAAUUAACUAAGUUAAUUAAAAUUCGGAGUAGAUAUGUGAUUAUGACAAUAUUUGCUUAUUUCUUGACCAAGUCACGUGCCAGCAGUCGCGGUAAUACGUGGUAGAUCAGUGUUAUUCAUCUUUAAUAGGUUUAAAGGGUACCUAGACGGUUAAUUAAGCAUAUUUGUGUACUAAUUAUUAACUAGAGUUUAAUGUAAGAAGGAUUGAGUACGGUGAGUGUAGAGAUAAAAUUCUGUCAUACCACUUAGGAACUGGUAAAGGCGAAGGCAACCUUUUAUGUAAAAACUGACGUUAAGGGACGAAGGCUCGUAUUAAGUAAUAGGAUUAGAGACCCUAGUAUUGUGGGCAGACAAUGAUGAGUGUCAUAUGCAAGAAAAUUUUUGUGUAUAAAUGAAAGUGUAAGCACUCCACCUCAAGAGUAACGUGGCAACAUGGGAACUGAAAUCAUUAGACCGUUUCUGAAACUCGUAGUGAAGUAUGUUGUUUAAUUUGAUAAUCCACAAAUAACCUUACCACAAUUUGAAUUACUGGUGAAUAUUAGUAACAAGCGUUGCACGGCUGUCUUCAGUUAAUGUUGUGAAACUUUGGUUAGAUCCAUUAAAUUGACGUAAACCCUUGCUUUAUUUGUUAUAAAGCAGUUCGCCGCUAUAUUGGUAGUGAUAGAAGGGACUAAGACAAGUCAUCAU
rnacentral:rRNA from 1 species